rnacentral:ncRNA from 2 species
CGCUCAACCCCGUGAUAGGUUGCCCGUAUUCCGGUGAAUGGGAAUCCAGCGUGAAUCUGGAGCGGUCCUCCCCACUGUGAGCGCUGAGCGGGUGUUCCGACGAUCGUCAGGAUCGGGCCACUGGACGGACAGUCCGGGAAGGCCAGAACAGCCGUGCCGAAGCGUGAGUCAGGAAACCUGACCGGAGUGUGUUUCGUCC